rnacentral:rRNA from 1 species
GGCGGACGGGUGAGUAAUGUAUAGUUAAUCUGCCCUUUAGAGGGGGAUAACAGUUGGAAACGACUGCUAAUACCCCAUACUCCUUUUACAUUAAUUGUAAUUGGGAAAUGUUUUUUUCGCUAAAGGAUGAGACUAUAUGGUAUCAGGUAGUUGGUGGGGUAAGAGCCUACCAAGCCAAUGACGCCUAGCUGGUCUGAGAGGAUGAUCAGCCACACUGGAACUGAGACACGGUCCAG